UCGCCCGCAUGCCGCGCCUGACAAGCCCGUGGACAGUUUAGCGGCUCCGCGCUCUCUGCGUGCAUCCGCCUCGGGCUGGGGGGGAUUGAUGCCGGCUCUGCUGGCGUCCGGGGGUGGUGGUUUUCGGAGCGGCGAGAAAGCGCUAUUAAUUGAACAAAAGGGAACCGCGAAGACCGAGACACCCCCCAGGCUCUGGGACCAGUAACCUUUAAACUGAAUUUGGGUGGCCAUUCCACCCCCCCCCCCGUCACUUCCUGCCUUUCCUCGCAGCGCCCCCUCACGCGUUUCAGGGCUCCAAGAACCUUGCUCAAGAGUCACGAUUCAAAGCAGCGACCUUCUGACCACAGCUGCGGAUGCCUAACCCGCCGGACCACACACCACACCUGGAAGGUGAUCGCUUCCGAAAUGGAAAAAAAGUAGAAGAGAAAGAAAUGUUGAGUCAGACUUGCUGGGGCUGGAACGGGUCAGAACCGGAGCAGGAUUUUUGGCGUUUCUGUGUCAGCGGAGACUGAGAAGCCAAACGUGCACAAGGCGCAGUAGCUGCCAGAGAGACUCGUGAGCAUCAUGCACAUCAAGCAUGACUUCCAGCACGGUUCUGCUGCAACGCCACAUGGUGGAUGCAGGAGGGCCGGCACAAACCCGCAUCCUCGCCUGCGACUGCAUCAGCCACGUCUGCAAACGGCACUGCCAUGCCAGUAUCCGUCUGCACUCAGUAAUUAUUCUCCUACAUCAGACUGUACAACAUGUGCUGUG